AAAGGUGCAUGAGUGGUGUUUGGUUUGUUACGGGUGGUUGGCUCUUUGCUUGCGCAACAACUUCCACCUGGCUUACCUCUUCAGUCUUGUGUCGAUGCUUGUAUCGCAUUGAACGCAUGGUGGGUUUCUUGUGUUGCAUACCUAAUUGAUGGUAUCAUUCGAAGAAUUGAUGUCUAUUUUCGUCUUGUAUUGCAUACGCGAUGUGAGAUGAACCUUGAGUAGCCUUUGUGUUCCACUCUUUCGAUGUACACGCAUUGGUCUUGUGGCCCAUUAAGUGUUGCUUGGUCUCAUGAAUAUGGAACCUGGUGUGGGCAUGGGUUCUUUUAUUGGUUCCUUGUUUGCCCUAGUUUAGCUUUUCUAAUACGAUUGUCUAUCAUGUUUUAACGUGGUAGGCUAUAUAUCGAAUAUGAAUGCUACCUGGUUGAUCCUGCCAGUAGUCAUAUG
rnacentral:misc_RNA from 1 species